rnacentral:rRNA from 1 species
GUCGAACGGUAACAGGUCUUCGGAUGCUGACGAGUGGCGAACGGGUGAGUAAUACAUCGGAACGUGCCCGAGAGUGGGGGAUAACGAAGCGAAAGCUUUGCUAAUACCGCAUACGAUCUCAGGAUGAAAGCAGGGGACCGCAAGGCCUUGCGCUCACGGAGCGGCCGAUGGCAGAUUAGGUAGUUGGUGGGAUAAAAGCUUACCAAGCCGACGAUCUGUAGCUGGUCUGAGAGGACGACCAGCCACACUGGGACUGAGACACGGCCCAGACUCCUACGGGAGGCAGCAGUGGGGAAUUUUGGACAAUGGGCGCAAGCCUGAUCCAGCCAUGCCGCGUGCAGGAUGAAGGCCUUCGGGUUGUAAACUGCUUUUGUACGGAACGAAAAGACUCUGGUUAAUACCUGGGGUCCAUGACGGUACCGUAAGAAUAAGCACCGGCUAACUACGUGCCAGCAGCCGCGGUAAUACGUAGGGUGCGAGCGUUAAUCGGAAUUACUGGGCGUAAAGCGUGCGCAGGCGGUUAUGUAAGACAGAUGUGAAUCCCCGGGCUCAACCUGGGAACUGCAUUUGUGACUGCGUAGCUAGAGUACGGCAGAGGGGGAUGGAUUCCGCGUGUAGCAGUGAAUGCGUAGAUAUGCGGAGGACACCGAUGGCGAA